GGGCAGAUUCUAGAGCGGUCAAAUAGGAAGGACUGUAAAUCCUUUGCCUCAGGUUUCGGGGGUUCGAAUCCCUCUCUGCCCACCA
rnacentral:tRNA from 1 species